CCUACGGGUGGCAGCAGUAGGGAAUCUUCCACAAUGGGCGAAAGCCUGAUGGAGCAACGCCGCGUGGGUGAAGAAGGUCUUCGGAUCGUAAAACCCUGUUGUUAGAGAAGAAAGUGCGUGAGAGUAACUGUUCCCGUUUCGACGGUAUCUACCCAGAAAGCCCCGGCUAACUACGUGCCAGCAGCCGCGGUAAUACGUAGGUGGCAAGCGUUAUCCGGAAUUAUUGGGCGUAAAGGGAACGCAGGCGGUCUUUUAAGUCUGAUGUGAAAUCCUCCGGCUUAACCGGAGGAGUGCAUUGGAAACUGGGAGACUUGAGUGUAGAAGAGGAGAGGGGAAUUCCAGGUGUAGCGGUGAAAUGCGUAGAUAUAUGGAAGAACACCAGGGGCGAAGGCGGCUCGCUGGUAUGUAACUGACGCUGAGGUUCGAAAGCGUGGGUAGCAAACAGGAUUAGAUACCCCAGUAGUC
rnacentral:rRNA from 1 species